ACAGAUGGAUGUUUGCACAGAGACAUGCAAAAAAAAAAAAAAAAAAAAAAAAAAGGAAGGGGUGAGGCAAACUGAACUUUAACUGCUAAAAACUGAUGGGUUUUACAGCAUCUGGACAUUGAACAGAAGUUUGUGUCCUGAGGUUGAGCAUUAAUUCCCUCAGAUAAAGCUAGAAUGUCUGUUCAAAUACACGCUAAGUCAACUCAUAAAAUGACUAGCUCUAAACCAUAAGGGGCAGAUCGAGUGUUACAGAUCCUGGGAGAUCGUGCAGAAACACAGAGGUUGCAGAGUCUAACCAGUCACAAGAUUCCAGGCAGAACCAAAUCACGGACUGCAGGCUGGCAGACUCCGAUUAAGAGAAGGGAUCUUCUCCAGAGCAGAUGUAGCUUUUCUCAAUAUUUAACAAUUCAGAUUUUUCCAAAGUUAAAUACUAUAUUUCUAAUGACAUGAAACAAAUGAUCUCUUAGAUGAAAGAACUCUUUAAACUGUUCCAGUCACAAAAGAUAUGAAGUACAGCAAUCAAGAUACCCACCAAAACCAGACUGAAGUUGAAAGGACAACCAACAACAGCUGAAGACAAUGUGCUCCCCAAAUGCCACUGCCACGAAAGGUCUGCAGCACCCAAGUAAGGGCCCUGAACAUGCCACGAGAAAAAGGUAAAAAAGCAAACCUGUGAAGCCUAUUUUUGGAACCAGUAUCAUCUCAGACAAGGAAAUUAGUUCCUAAAUAUAAUUACUGCCUAAUGAAGGUAAUCAUAAACAGCUGAAACUCCAGACAACUGUAUGAUGCAGCAAAUCAAUGUGCUCAAAAAUGCAGAGACAAGAAUGAAUACCGAUAACCCGCUCACACAGUGCCCAAAUCUUACCUGGUUUGAGCAGAUGUGGGUGUGUGAAAGGGCUGGGCUGGCCCAAAUACCGGUUUGGAAUCUUCUUCUGCUGGGCAGGCUGGAUGGAAAAUCUUCGGAGAGCACAUGACUUGCAAACUGGAGGAAAAGAAAUGCAUCACGUCAAGGUGAGAAAAACCCUUCCAGCUAGAAAAUUGCUGAAUUCUACUACAGUCUUCAGACUUUUAGUAGCAUUCAUUCACUUACACGGCAGAAAUAUCCCUGCUUAGCUUCUCGAUCUGUUGUGUACCACCAUAGUUUAUGAAACAAUGUGCACACUACUCAACUACUGAUCAAAUACUCAUAAAACAGAUUGAAAGAAACGAACAGAUGCCAAACCCAACAAUCCAGCAAGAAAACCCAGGAAGCUCUGUUGGUUUGCACAUCCCAAUUCAUACACUUGGUGUUCAGGAGGUGCUUGAUGCUCUCCCUCCCUUACUUCCCUCAAACACCACAGGGCUCCAAGCACAACACCACCUAUAUAUUGUUUCUUCUUGACUAUGUCUUCAAAAAACAUCCCUUACCUUGAACAACUAUACAUUUUCCAAGGCCUUUCCAGUUCUCUUUUUUACUAAUAACACAGCAAAGAAAUCAUCAAAUAACAGGUUUAUACAGCAA